GUGGGCGCAACAAUUGGUAUUAGAGCAAGGUGGUGCCAGAGCAUAGGUUGCAGCAAUGAUGAUCGAGAUAGAAGAUGGAGAAGAUGGAAAGAGCAAUUUCUUCCUCUGACAGGCGAGGGUGAAAGACGUGCUCAUCCAGCAAGGGUUGAUCGAUGCUCUCUUGUAUGAUGAGAAGCCGACCAUUAUGGAGAUGCAGGAUUGG
rnacentral:lncRNA from 1 species